GAUGAACGCUGGCGGCGUGCCUAAUACAUGCAAGUCGAGCGAACGGACGAGAAGCUUGCUUCUCUGAUGUUAGCGGCGGACGGGUGAGUAACACGUGGAUAACCUACCUAUAAGACUGGGAUAACUUCGGGAAACCGGAGCUAAUACCGGAUGAUAUUUUGAACCGCAUGGUUCAAAAGUGAAAGACGGUCUUGCUGUCACUUAUAGAUGGAUCCGCGCUGCAUUAGCUAGUUGGUAAGGUAAUGGCUUACCAAGGCAACGAUGCAUAGCCGACCUGAGAGGGUGAUCGGCCACACUGGAACUGAGACACGGUCCAGACUCCUACGGGAGGCAGCAGAAGGGAAUCUUCCGCAAAGGGCGAAAGCCUGACGGAGCAACGCCGCGUGAGUGAUGAAGGUCUUCGGAUCGUAAAACUCUGUUAUUAGGGAAGAACAUAUGUGUAAGUAACUGUGCACAUCUUGACGGUACCUAAUCAGAAAGCCACGGCUAACUACGUG
rnacentral:rRNA from 1 species